UGGGGGAUAUUGCACAAUGGGCGAAAGCCUGAUGCAGCGACGCCGCGUGGGGGAUGAAGGCCUUCGGGUUGUAAACUUCUUUUGCUCUGAACAAGGCAUGCUAAUGGGUGUGUUGAGUGUAGGGGUUGAUUAGCGCCGGCUAACUACGUGCCAGCAGCCGCGGUAAUACGUAGGGCGCGAGCGUUGUCCGGAAUUAUUGGGCGUAAAGGGCUUGUAGGUGGCUGGUUGCGUCUGUCGUGAAAGCUCAUGGCUUAACUGUGGGUUUGCGGUGGGUACGGGCUGGCUUGAGUGCAGUAGGGGAGGCUGGAAUUCCUGGUGUAGCGGUGGAAUGCGCAGAUAUCAGGAGGAAUACCGGUGGCGAAGGCGGGUCUCUGGGCUGUUACUGACACUGAGGAGCGAAAGGAUGGGGAGCGAACAGG
rnacentral:rRNA from 1 species